rnacentral:lncRNA from 1 species
GCUGUAACAAGUCAAAUGCAAGGGGAGCUGCUUUGAGAGCCCUCAACUUGCACUGUUCACCUGUCAGGUUUUAUCUUUCAGGGGUCAGCCAAGCCAGUGGGAAGCCUACGACAUUCCCCUGGGUCACUUAGUGAACUCCUACUCUUUCAUCAGGCCUCACUUGAACAUGACUUCCUCCAGAAGCCUUCCCAGACAUCUUUGAGCUAGAAAGUCAGAAGAGUAGAAUUGGAACCCAGCUCAGUCUGAUGCCACAUCCUUUGUUGUUUCCAUUAAAUCAGAGAAUUUCUUAGUGCUGAGAAACUAUUCUGGAACUUACAACAAAGGCAAGUGGGAAGGGAGUCGCCUGGAAUUUGAUCUCUGUAGAUGCCUUUUUCAUUUAGUUUAUUUUUCAUUUUUAUCUGUUGCUUUGCUCUUAUCAAAUACAGAUAAAUAGCAGCUGCUACUGGUGCUGUUGAUUGCGAUUUCUGUUUGAAAAUGGAAUCUUGAGCAUCUGUUCUCUCCUUUUAUAUUUUACUGUGAGAGAAAAUCUAUUUUUUUCAAAAGGUAAUUCAUACACAUGGUAAAAAUUUAAACAAUAUAAAAACCUAUUUUUAAAAAACAU